UACGUAGGGUGCGAGCGUUGUCCGGAAUUAUUGGGCGUAAAGGGCUCGUAGGCGGUUUGUCGCGUCGGGAGUGAAAACCUCGGGCUUAACUCGGGGCUUGCUUUCGAUACGGGCAGACUAGAGGUAUGCAGGGGAGAACGGAAUUCCUGGUGUAGCGGUGAAAUGCGCAGAUAUCAGGAGGAACACCGGUGGCGAAGGCGCCACUCUGGGCCGGUACUGACGCUGAGGAGCGAAAGCGUGGGUAGCAAACAGG
rnacentral:rRNA from 1 species